rnacentral:sRNA from 1 species
AGCAGCCGCGGUAAUUCCAGCUCCAAUAGCGUAUAUUAAAGUUGUUGCAGUUAAAAAGCUCGUAGUUGAAUUUCGGGGUCAGCAGGUCGGUCGUGCCAAUGGUAUGCACUGGCCUUGCUGAUUCCUCCCUCUUGAUGAGCCGUAAUGCCAUUAAUUUGGUGUUGCGGGGAAUCAGGACUGUUACUUUGAAAAAAUUAGAGUGUUUAAAGCAGGCAAGCGCUUGAAUACAUUAGCAUGGAAUAAUGAAAUAGGACGUUCGAUCCUAUUUUGUUGGUUUCUAGGAUUGACGUAAUGAUUAAUAGGGAUAGUUGGGGGCAUCAGUAUUCAAUUGUCAGAGGUGAAAUUCUUGGAUUUAUUGAAGACUAACUACUGCGAAAGCAUUUGCCAAGGAUGUUUUCAUUAAUCAAGAACGAAAGUUAGGGGAUCGAAGACGAUCAGAUACCGUCGUAGUCUUAACCAUAAACUAUGCCGACUAGGGAUCGGA